CAUUGUGUCAUGCUCUCACCAUUCACCACUUUCUCUCACCAAAAGUUACAAAAGCAUGAUAUUGCGUAAUUUGAUGCCUAAGGGUCAUUGGCCAGGCAUACAUGUUCAUUUAUUGCGCGUGUAGAAUAAUACAAAGUAAUUGUACUGCGUGUAACGUGUUACUUUCACUUUUAGAUAACUUGGCCGACGCCUCUGACAAACUAACCAGUUAGUUUUUUGCUACGAUACAAAAAGGUGCACUACGUAAAUUCCGGUCUUAGGCUCAAAUCAUGGAUUUCCGUUUACCCGAACAGGAGUCAACGGAGGAGUACGCCAAAAACGAGAAGAACACGCUUUGAUUAAAGUGAUUAAAUCCCAUGCACAUAUAAGACCACCACGCCGUUUCAUUCCAACGAUUUCAUACAUGGCUCCAGGACCUUAUUAUUCAAU